CCGUGAAACACCUCCAGUUUUGACGUCGCGUAGAUUCACGUCCACCUUCCAUUUUCAUGCAUGUCGUUCAGCCCUCUUCUCUCUAGCCGCUCAACUAUCUGUGUCUCCACCUCUCACUGUGAACCUCAGCCAGACCGCAUCGCGCGCACCAGCCAUCACUCCCCCGUAAACACCAAACCAGUGAACUGCCACCUCCUAGCCGAACCACGUUCUACAGCCACACCAAACGAAACCCACGCCGGUACCUAGGUCAUUCGGAGUCCAUCACCCCAACCACACGCCACCUCAGUCUCACAGUGCUGCCACCCAACGCACGUAGCCUCGGUUGCAAGCCCCGAAAUACUCUGUUUUUGUUGU